rnacentral:lncRNA from 1 species
CACAGAGAGGAGAAUCUGUAAAGGACUGAAAUGCUUUCCUGGCUUGUUUCCUCCUUUUACAGGGUGCUGGAACUUAAGGGAUGGUCUCAUCCCAAAUCAGACCUGAAGAGGUGGGAAUGUACAGGGCAGCCAGACUCCUGGUACACAAAGCAGAUGAAAAAUGUUUGAAGACUACUUUAGAAAAGAAAGGCAAUGUUAGAAGACAAAAUGAAGUCAAGAUGCGCCCUUCUUACAGAGCUGAACAGAAGAGCAUGAAAACAUGACUUGAGUCCUUGCUAAAAGCUUGAAAGCCAAAGUUUUAAAGGACUGUCACAUUUCUGUUCUGAAAAGGCCCCUGAAGCUCAAUUGUGAAUGAACCUACG